rnacentral:rRNA from 1 species
CUACGGGUGGCUGCAGUGAGGAAUAUUGCACAAUGGGGGGAACCCUGAUGCAGCAACGCCGCGUGGAGGAUGACGCAUUUCGGUGUGUAAACUCCUUUUAUAUGUCAAGAAAAUGACGGUAGCAUAUGAAUAAGCACCGGCUAACUCCGUGCCAGCAGCCGCGGUAAUACGGGAGGGUGCAAGCGUUACUCGGAAUCACUGGGCGUAAAGGACGCGUAGGCGGGUUGGAAAGUCAGGUGUGAAAUCCUACAGCUUAACUGUAGAACUGCACUUGAAACUUCUAAUCUAGAGUAUGGGAGGGGGAGAUGGAAUUAGUGGUGUAGGGGUAAAAUCCGUAGAUAUCACCAGGAAUACCUAAAGCGAAGGCGAUCUCCUGGAACAUUACUGACGCUAAGGCGUGAAAGCGUGGGGAGCAAACAGGAUUAGAUACCCUCGUAGUC